CGGGACACGUGGUAUCCUGUCUGAAUAUGGGGGGACCAUCCUCCAAGGCUAAAUACUCCUGACUGACCGAUAGUGAACCAGUACCGUGAGGGAAAGGCGAAAAGAACCCCGGCGAGGGGAGUGAAAAAGAACCUGAAACCGUGUACGUACAAGCAGUGGGAGCACGCUUAGGCGUGUGACUGCGUACCUUUUGUAUAAUGGGUCAGCGACUUAUAUUCUGUAGCAAGGUUAACCGAAUAGGGGAGCCGAAGGGAAACCGAGUCUUAACUGGGCGUUAAGUUGCAGGGUAUAGACCCGAAACCCGGUGAUCUAGCCAUGGGCAGGUUGAAGGUUGGGUAACACUAACUGGAGGACCGAACCGACUAAUGUUGAAAAAUUAGCGGAUGACUUGUGGCUGGGGGUGAAAGGCCAAUCAAACCGGGAGAUAGCUGGUUCUCCCCGAAAGCUAUUUAGGUAGCGCCUCGUGAAUUCAUCUCCGGGGGUAGAGCACUGUUUCGGCAAGGGGGUCAUCCCGACUUACCAACCCGAUGCAAACUGCGAAUACCGGAGAAUGUUAUCACGGGAGACACACGGCGGGUGCUAACGUCCGUCGUGAAGAGGGAAACAACCCAGACCGCCAGCUAAGGUCCCAAAGUCAUGGUUAAGUGGGAAACGAUGUGGGAAGGCCCAGACAGCCAGGAUGUUGGCUUAGAAGCAGCCAUCAUUUAAAGAAAGCGUAAUAGCUCACUGGUCGAGUCGGCCUGCGCGGAAGAUGUAACGGGGCUAAACCAUGCACCGAAGCUGCGGCAGCGACGCUGAUGCGUUGUUGGGUAGGGGAGCGUUCUGUAAGCCUGUGAAGGUGUGCUGUGAGGCAUGCUGGAGGUAUCAGAAGUGCGAAUGCUGACAUAAGUAACGAUAAAGCGGGUGAAAAGCCCGCUCGCCGGAAGACCAAGGGUUCCUGUCCAACGUUAAUCGGGGCAGGGUGAGUCGACCCCUAAGGCGAGGCCGAAAGGCGUAGUCGAUGGGAAACAGGUUAAUAUUCCUGUACUUGGUGUUACUGCGAAG
rnacentral:rRNA from 1 species